GAAAUGCGAUAAGUAGUGUGAAUUGCAGAAUUCAGUGAAUCAUCGAAUCUUUGAACGCACAUUGCGCCCCUUGGUAUUCCAUGGGGCAUGCCUGUUCGAGCGUCAUUUGUACCCUCAAGCUCUGCUUGGUGUUGGGUGUUUGUCCCGUCUCCGCGCGUGGACUCGCCCCAAAGUGAUUGGCAGCCGGCGUACUGGUCCCGGAGCGCAGCACAUGUCGCGCAAACGAGUGCCUUGGUACGGCGGCGUCCAUAAGCCCCUCUCUCACGCCCCUGACCUCGGAUCAGGUAGGGAUACCCGCUGAACUUAAGC
rnacentral:misc_RNA from 1 species